CCUCAAAUCAGGUGGGACUACCCGCUGAACUUAAGCAUAUCAAUAAGCGGAGGAAAAGAAACUAACUAGGAUUCCCUUAGUAACGGCGAGUGAAGAGGGACUAGCCCAAAUUUGUAAUCUGGCUCUUUCAGAGUCCGAGUUGUAAUCUCGAGAACAGUUUUCCGUGUUGGACCUUGUAUAAGUCUGUUGGAAUAUAGCUUCGUAGAGGGUGAGAAUCCCGUACAUAACAAGGACUACCAAUGCUUUGUGAUACUGUCUCUAAGAGUCGAGUUGUUUGGGAAUGCAGCUCAAAUUGGGUGGUAAAUUCCAUCUAAGGCUAAAUAUUGGCGAGAGACCGAUAGCGAACAAGUACCGUGAGGGAAAGAUGAAAAGCACUUUGGAAAGAGAGUUAACAGUACGUGAAAUUGUUAGAAGGGAAACGAUUGAAGUCAGUCUUGUAGCUUUUCGUUCAACCGCAAGGUGUAUUCGGAUUGCAACAGGCCAGCAUCAAUUUUUGGUGUCGGAUAAGGGUAUUGGAAACGUAGCAAUCUCGGUUGUGUUAUAGUCCUUUACUUGAUACGAUGCUAGGGAUUGAGGAACGCAGUGAGCCUUUUGGCGGGUCUUUGGACCUUCUCACUUUGGAUGCUG
rnacentral:rRNA from 1 species